rnacentral:rRNA from 1 species
UUGGAGGGCAAGUCUGGUGCCAGCAGCCGCGGUAAUUCCAGCUCCAAUAGCGUAUAUUUAAGUUGUUGCAGUUAAAAAGCUCGUAGUUGAAUUUCGGGAUCAAUUUAUUGGUCGUGCUAUUGUACGUACUGGUAUUAUUGAUUCCUACCUUCUGACGAACCAUGAUGUCAUUAAUUUGGUGUCAUGGGGAAUCAGGACUGUUACUUUGAAAAAAUUAGAGUGUUUAAAGCAGGCUCACGCUUGAAUACAUUAGCAUGGAACAACGAAAUAGGACGUUUGAUUCUAUUUUGUUGGUUUCUAGGAUCGACGUAAUGAUUAAUAGGGAUAGUUGGGGGCAUUAGUAUUCAAUUGUCAGAGGUGAAAUUCUUGGAUUUAUUGAAGACUAACUACUGCGAAAGCAUUUGCCAAGGAUGUUUUCAUUAAUCAAGAACGAAAGUUAGGGGAUCGAAGACGAUCAGAUACCGUCGUAGUCUUAACCAUAAACUAUGCCGACUAGGGAUCGGAUGAUGUUAAUUUUUUAAUGACUCAUUCGGCGCCUUACGGGAAACCAAAGUGUUUGGGUUC